rnacentral:rRNA from 1 species
UAGAGUUUGAUCCUGGCGCAGAAUCAACGCUGGCGGCGUGCCUAACACAUGCAAGUCGAACGAGAAAGGGGCUUCGGCCCUGAGUAAAGUGGCGGACGGGUGAGUAACACGUGGGUGAUCUGCCCUCCAGUGGGGGAUAACACACCGAAAGGUGUGCUAAUACCGCAUGGAGUUCCGGUUGUCAUGACCGGAAUGAAAGCAGCAAUGUGCUGGAGGAGGAGCCCGCGCCGGAUUAGCUAGUUGGUGGGGUAACGGCCCACCAAGGCUACGAUCCGUAGCCGGCCUGAGAGGGUGACCGGCCACACUGGAACUGAGACACGGUCCAGACUCCUACGGGAGGCAGCAGUGGGGAAUUUUGCGCAAUGGGGGCAACCCUGACGCAGCAACGCCGCGUGGACGAUGAAGGCCUUUGGGUCGUAAAGUCCUGUCAGCAGGGAAAAACAAAAUGAUGGUACCUGCAGAGGAAGCUCCGGCUAACUUCGUGCCAGCAGCCGCGGUAAUACGAGGGGAGCAAGCGUUGUUCGGAAUCAUUGGGCGUAAAGGGCGCGUAGGCGGCCGUACAAGUCUGGGGUGAAAGCCCUCGGCUCAACCGAGGAAUUGCCUUGGAAACUGUAUGGCUUGAGUAUUGGAGAGGAAGGCGGAAUUCCCAGUGUAGCGGUGAAAUGCGUAGAUAUUGGGAGGAACACCUGUGGCGAAGGCGGCUUUCUGGACAAUCACUGACGCUGAGGCGCGAAAGCCAGGGGAGCAAACGGGAUUAGAUACCCCGGUAGUCCUGGCUGUAAACGAUGGAUACUUGGUGUGGGAGGUAUUGAGUCCUCCCGUGCCGACGAUAACUCAGUAAGUAUCCCGCCUGGGGAGUACGGUCGCAAGACUGAAACUCAAAGGAAUUGACGGGGGCCCGCACAAGCGGUGGAGCAUGUGGUUUAAUUCGACGCAACGCGAAGAACCUUACCCGGGUUUGAACUGUAGUGGACCGGUGCAGAGAUGCGCCUUUCUCUUCGGAGACUGCUGCAGAGGUGCUGCAUGGCUGUCGUCAGCUCGUGUCGUGAGAUGUUGGGUUAAGUCCCGCAACGAGCGCAACCCUUACUCUUAGUUGCUAACACGUAAUGGUGAGCACCCUAGGAGAACUGUCGGCGAAAAGCCGGAGGAAGGUGGGGAUGACGUCAAGUCCUCAUGGCCUUUAUGUCCGGGGCUACACACGUGCUACAAUGGGCGGCACAAAGGGUUGCUAAAUCGCAAGAUCUCAGCUAAUCCCGAAAAGCCGUUCUCAGUUCGGAUUGCAGUCUGCAACUCGACUGCAUGAAGUUGGAAUCGCUAGUAAUCGCGGAUCAGCAUGCCGCGGUGAAUACGUUCCCGGGCCUUGUACACACCGCCCGUCACAUCACGAAAGUGGGUUGUACUAGAAAUCACCCAGCUAACCCGCAAGGGACGCAGGUGCUGAAGGUAUGGUCCAUGAUUGGGGUGAAGUCGUAACAAGGUAACC